GUGGGGAAUUUUGGACAAUGGGCGCAAGCCUGAUCCAGCAAUGCCGCGUGCAGGAAGAAGGCCUUCGGGUUGUAAACUGCUUUUGUACGGAGCGAAAAGGUUCCCUCUAAUACAGGGGGCUCAUGACGGUACCGUAAGAAUAAGCACCGGCUAACUACGUGCCAGCAGCCGCGGUAAUACGUAGGGUGCAAGCGUUAAUCGGAAUUACUGGGCGUACAGCGUGCGCAGGCGGUUGUGUAAGACAGGCGUGAAAUCCCCGGGCUCAACCUGGGAAUGGCGCUUGUGACUGCAGAGCUGGAGUGCGGCAGAGGUGGAUGGAAUUCCGCGUGUAGCAGUGAAAUGCGUAGAUAUGCGGAGGAACACCGAUGGCGAAGGCAAUCCCCUGGGCCUGCACUGACGCUCAUGCACGAAAGCGUGGGGAGCAAACAGGAUUAGAUACCCGUGUAGUCC
rnacentral:rRNA from 1 species